CCUACGGGUGGCAGCAGUGAGGAAUAUUGGUCAAUGGACGCAAGUCUGAACCAGCCAAGCCGCGUGCAGGAUGACGGCCCUAUGAGUUGUAAACUGCUUUUGUACGAGGGUAAACGCAGAUACGCGUACCUUUUUGCAAGUACCGUACGAAUAAGGAUCGGCUAACUCCGUGCCAGCAGCCGCGGUAAUACGGAGGAUUCAAGCGUUAUCCGGAUUUAUUGGGUUUAAAGGGUGCGUAGGCGGUCGGAUAAGUUAGUUGUGAAAUCCUGAGGCUCAACCUCAGAAUUGCCUCUGAUACUGGUCGUCUAGAGAGUAGUUGAGGUAGGCGGAAUGUAUGGUGUAGCGGUGAAAUGCUUAGAGAUCAUACAGAACACCGAUUGCGAAGGCAGCUUACCAAGCUACUACUGACGUUGAGGCACGAAAGCGUGGGGAGCAAACAGGAUUAGAUACCCGUGUAGUC
rnacentral:rRNA from 1 species